rnacentral:lncRNA from 1 species
AAUGUUAGUUGAUGGAACAAUAGUGGCAGUAGAACUACCUUGCUUGUACCCUAACGAAGCCGGUCACCUGAUGUGCAUUGAAGCCCUAUCGAACCCUUGCGUUUUUAUGGUAAUCAGCCGUUAUCAACAAGGCAAGAUAGUGCAUGGUUAUAGUGGAAUUCAAGCCUUGGUGGACCUUUCUUCUGUAUUUGUCCCGUCUUGUUGAUGGUAGACAGCUAUUCCACACCUCGUACACAACAGAGAAACCCCCUCGGACGAAGACUUCGUUCAGAUCUAAAAGGCAAGGAGACAGUGUUUGCCAUUAUUGAAAGACAAAGGAAAAGAAGCAAUGACAGAAAACAAAUAUCACCAUACCGUCUUGUCUUUAAUGUUUCCAACAGCUGACAGUCCGAUAAAAGCCAGAUUCACAAGUAAGAAGUAUCUGCAGAAGGAAGAACCAAUUAUGGUAGAUCCACGACAGUCCUGGCACAAGCAAACAUGGCAUCACCACAGUCCCGACACAAGCCUUGUUAAACAGAUUAGAUAUAACCUGACAUGUAUAUAAUUAUACCCUCAUGUACAAAGUACAUGGGAUUAUAUUGGAGUCACACAUGUCAGCGGGUCCUUUCUUCCGUUCGCCUAUCUGUCCAUCAUGUAGCUGGGAAGAUUAAAAAAAAUAGAACUGGCUUCAUUUAUUAGCCUCAUCAACAAUGUUCGUUGUGCACAACCCAAGUCACUAGGCCAAAGGUCAGUUUUACUCUUGGAGGACAAAGUUCAAAUAACUUUAAUUUAGUGUCCGCUCCAUAUUGUCUAAACUGCAACGAAUAUUUAGUUCAAGUAUUCGUCAUUGUACUCGCCCUGCCUUCAGGGUCACUGUCACCGUUGCAUUCAGGUUAAAAUUUAAUAUGAUUCUCAAAGUCACUAUAUUUUCGUAUCUACUGCCCAUAUUAGCAUCAAACUUCAUAUAAGGGUUGAUUGUGGUAAAACGCAGACAUCUAUUUGUUAGGGGUCAAGCAUCAAAAAGGUCAAAGUUACUGGGGUCAUAUUUUGUAAUUGUGCUGGUUAAAUCUUAGAUUGUUUCUUAUAUCUUCUCAUUCACCCGCUCCUAUCCCCUACUCUACCCC